CGGAGACUGGGGGCUGGUGGACUCAUCAAGCUUUUGCAGCUAAAAACAGAAGGGCUGGAGCCAAGGAAGAGAGCGACAGCGCGACAAAACAAAACAAACAAAGCCAGAGCGAAGCGUGAUUUCCAAAUGGAGAAUUUAAAGUCACAACAGUGGUUAGUUCUGCAGUAUUAGCCAUAUUAGCAGGUUCUGCGCAAAGGCACAGUCACGUUAUAUCGCAGCCCAUAGAGUUACAUUCCAAGGAGCAUCCUGCCUAGCCCCCCGCGUGAGUGCGGCACCUCUGCCCGGCGCACCUUUGCCUCUUUAUCCCCUUUCCGCCUGGCGGCAAACAGUUUGCUGCCUUUUACGUGUGGGAAAAAUCCCAGCCAAGCAACAGGCUGCGGGGAGGCGGCACGAGGGGUUUUCUCCGCAUCCCUUCAGCGGCGGCCGUGGAAAUCUCUCUUUGCACCCGUUCCCUCUGCUCGCCACGCUCACCGAUAUUGUCAGCCGCACAGUAAUCUCUCUGACAGCCUGGGAAGCUUGUUUAUAGCCAAUAUUCCCCUGUCUAUUAAACCGGGGCCAGAUCCACCUCAUCUGAGGCAAAUUGUCCCAGUUCUCUUCAAGUCCCGAUCUACCUAAGCUGAGGCUGUGACCCUGAACGUCCGCUCUGCAGCAACCGCAAGACCAAAGACAGUAGCAGCAAAAAUGAAAAAGGGAGGGAAAAAAGUGGAAUACCCAAAUAAGCGAGUCUUUCGCUCUGUUCUGGGUGUCAGAGGGCUACUCUGGAGGUGGGAACAAGCCGGGUCGAACUCGCUCAUGCCACCCGUACGGAUCGAGCCCCGCACAGCGCCUCCCAGCCCUCAGCGUCGGUGUGCUGAACACGAAGGGUUUUAAAACAAAAUCCGAGGAAGUAACUGCCUUUGACCUAUCCAGAUACUGAAAUUGCUGUGUCUGCAAAUCACUUCUUCUUUGCCGUGAAUUUUCAGUUACAUUUCAGCCCGUUACUGGCUCAGCUUUUGCUGCUGAUUAUUUAUGCCUUGCAACGCUCUUUUGUAAAUCCUGCAAUAUUUCUGAGCUCUUAAUUUAAGUCCUGUUAAUGUCCUUUGCAAAAGUUAUGUUGUUGGGUUUUUCAUAUUGCAAUGUUUUUACUUGAGUGCAUACAUUGAUAAAAUGCCAACACGACCGUGAACGGGCCCAGAAAAAUGAAUGUUCAAUUAAACAGCUCACUGCUCUUUUGACAUCUUAAUUUCUUCUGCUUUUUUACUUUUUUUAAAAGAGAAUUAGUAGGAACUCUCUCUCUCAUCAAAUUCCAAGUUUCUGUGUAAUUCAAUUAUGCCUGUCUACAUCCUCUUACUAUUUCUUUAGCUUUACUGAACUGAUACAUAAAGUUGUUUGUUCCCUUUCAGAGAAGACUCUGAAUCACCCCAGAAUUAGCUAUAUUUCUGUAUGUUUGCAUAUGUCCAAUAAUAUCACUUACACACCUUCAAAAAUAAAAAGUUCUAACCUGAUGUCGUUACAUAUUCUCAAAUCACUAUAAUGAUGUUC